UCGUCUUUUAAGACGAACUACGUCCGUUUAAGGAGGCUUGAGAUGAUGGUAAAUUGUAUAGCUGACAUUGUGGGACCUGUUUCCUGUGUGUGCUGUGGGACCUGUCAGCUAUCCUGUGUACCUGUCCACACUCUUAACGAUUUCAGGUGGCAAGCUUGUUUGUGCAAAAAUGAAAAGCCUCGGGCCAAGGACAUUAUACAGGGGGUGUCCUUUUACGGGUCAAUAACCUCUGCUUUAACACAAAACCCCUGAUGAAGAGAAAAGUUACAGCCUUUGGAACUAAGGGUUCAUUCCUCGACUGGAACAACGUUACAUCAGCAUUUCGUAUUAGCAAUCAGACAAGUCGCUAUUUCAACCUAUCAACAAAUUUCGCCAUCUAUAACCAACGUAAGAAAAAUGGAACGCCUGUUGUCAUGGCAACACCAGUGGGACAUUACCGGACAUGCGCAGUUGUCGGCAAUAGUGGCAUUCUCCGUGACAGCGGCUGUGGGGACGACAUUGACCGCAAUGAUUUUGUUAUCAGAGUAAAUGAUGCUCCAUUAAAGACAUUCGAACAGGAUGUCGGUGAGAAUACGAACAUGACCAUUAUCAACAGCAGAGUGUUAGACAAAAUGGAUAGAGUCGAUUUUGACCCCCAAUGGAUAAUUUCUCGGAAUAACUCCAUAAUGAGCUAUACACUCGGCAUACACAGAAACCUUCCUGCUUUAAACACGAUGAUAAGGAAGUUGGAUCUUAACAUCACAAUGACGUAUUCGGUGACUCCACCAAGACGUCAUGUCAAAACGUUCUGGAAUGAGAAGUACAACAGUAACCUUUCCAAUGGGGUUACAACUGGCGGACUCAACACCUACACCCUUGCCAGUACAUUUUGUGACGUCAUCACCGUAUAUGGCUUCUACCCAUAUCAAACGGAUGUUCACAACAAAACAGUAUAUUACCAUUACUUCGACGAGACGCCCAUGGAAAAGUCAGUCAACAGAAGUAUACAUGAUUAUUUUCACCAGCAUGAACUUUUAAAAUCACUACAUGGCAGUGGGGCACUUAAGUUGGUAACGGAUGUAUGUAAAUAAUGAA